UACGGAAGGCAGCAGUGGGGAAUAUUGCACAAUGGGCGCAAGCCUGAUGCAGCCAUGCCGCGUGUAUGAAGAAGGCCUUCGGGUUGUAAAGUACUUUCAGCGGGGAGGAAGGCGAUGCGGUUAAUAACCGCGUCGAUUGACGUUACCCGCAGAAGAAGCACCGGCUAACUCCGUGCCAGCAGCCGCGGUAAUACGGAGGGUGCAAGCGUUAAUCGGAAUUACUGGGCGUAAAGCGCACGCAGGCGGUCUGUUAAGUCAGAUGUGAAAUCCCCCGGGCUUAACCUGGGAACUGCAUUUUGAAACUGGCAGGCUUGAGUCUUGUAGAGGGGGUAGAAUUCCAGGUGUAGCGGUGAAAUGCGUAGAGAUCUGGAGGAAUCCGGUGGCGAAGGCGGCCCCUGGGACAAAGACUGACGCUCAGGGUGCGAAAGCGUGGGGAGCAAACGAGGGAUUAGGAUACC
rnacentral:rRNA from 1 species